GGUCUAGGCAAAGAAAGGAUAGACACGUUUUAGUUCAGAUCAAUCCAUUUCUUUCACAAAGAAAUCAUGGGCAGGGGAUAAAAAAGUUGUAAAGACAAACUAAAGUCGGUACAGCAUGGUGGUAAUUGUGGUAUUGAGAUCGCACAAUAAAGACCUUAUAUUCCAUCAAUGAAUUCUUUUGGGUGUUUUCAAGGGAGGUUUUUAUCACCGAAGUUUAUCAAUCAAGCAAGUCGUACGAUACCAUCUCAGCUUUAUCAAGCCAUGUAAUGUGCCGCUUACUCGGCCGAAGAAAACACAAAUAUACACAGAGACGGCGAAGAAAACAACCUUACUUAA